CAUCGGUCAAUAGACCAAACUUUCGUAGAAGGAGAGAGAGACAGACAGACAGACGGACGGACGGACGGACGGAGAGGGAAGUAUCGACUCAAGCUGAUACAUGCUCUUCUGACAUAGGCAGAAACGUUGUUCUGCUCAGCAGUGUUUGCUCUCACUGUCAUAAUACUUCAUCACGUCAAAGAGACGAGAGAGAGAGAGGGAGACGAGAGAGAGAGAGAGGGAGACCAGAGAUGGGACUGAAGCAUCGAUUCAAGCUGAUUAACGCCCUUGUAAGAUCGGCAUCUCCUUUGUUCUUCUCAGCGAUGUCUACUUAAACUUUAAGAAUAUUGGGAUUGGUGUUUAUUGCAAGAAACUUUGAAGGAAGACUCGUUGGAGGACUACGAAAGCAGGUCUUUGCAGCAAUCUCUGAAACUGCAGAGGCUCUGUAGCAAUGGAAGCGGCUCGAGGUUUGGCAAAACAGGGAGUUUGGCACUCUGUAGUGAUAGAAAUGGACUCCAUUGUUCGGUAUGUAGCCCUCGGCGCCAACAUGGUUGGAGGGUCAUGGAAGCUGCAGAAUUUAGUUGACAAGCUGAAGAAACAGCUGAGGUUGUUGAUGAACAAUGCGAAGCUGAAUUUGGUUAGAACAAUGAACUAGUUCCUUUGUUAUGUCUUCUCUCCCCUUCUCGCUUUCUGCAUCAAAGUUGUUGAUAAGGUGAAGGUGAGGGGGCAGAUAUAUAUAUAUAUAUAUAUAUAUGCCCCCUCUGUAUGUACAUUAAGUCUAAGCGAUAUGGCUCGACAUUUUCUUUCUCUUGGAAUUCUUGUACAUACUCGUUCAAACGAUAAUUUAUUAUCAAAUACCGAUCUUCUUUCGCUCA